GAUGAACGCUGGCGGCGUGCCUAAUACAUGCAAGUCGAGCGAACAGACGAGGGGCUUGCUCCUUUGACGUUAGCGGCGGACGGGUGAGUAACACGUGGAUAACCUACCUAUAAGACUGGGAUAACUUCGGGAAACCGGAGCUAAUACCGGAUAACAUGUUGAACCGCAUGGUUCAACAGUGAAAGACGGUCUUGCUGUCACUUAUAGAUGGAUCCGCGCCGCAUUAGCUAGUUGGUAAGGUAACGGCUUACCAAGGCAACGAUGCGUAGCCGACCUGAGAGGGUGAUCGGCCACACUGGAACUGAGACACGGUCCAGACUCCUACGGGAGGCAGCAGUAGGGAAUCUUCCGCAAUGGGCGGAAGCCUGACGGAGCAACGCCGCGUGAGUGAAGAAGGUCUUCGGAUCGUAAAACUCUGUUAUUAGGGAAGAACAAAUGUGUAAGUAACUAUGCACGUCUUGACGGUACCUAAUCAGAAAGCCACGGCUAACUACGUG
rnacentral:rRNA from 1 species